AUUGGUACAGUGAUAGAUCGGGUUUGCUCUGCUGGCGGGCAGAUCACCCGUUCCUUUCCUACUGCUUUAGGCAGACCGCCAC
rfam:Cyanobacterium BACL30 MAG-120619-bin27 contig01126_1_120619-bin27, whole genome shotgun sequence.